rnacentral:rRNA from 1 species
AGAGGGUGCGAGCGUUAAUCGGAAUUACUGGGCGUAAAGCGCACGUAGGUGGGUAAACAAGUCGGAUGUGAAAUUCCUGGGCUCAACCUGGGCAUGUCAUUCGAAACUGUAUAUCUAGAGUAUAGUAGAGGGAAGUGGAAUUUCCGGUGUAGCGGUGAAAUGCGUAGAUAUCGGAAGGAACACCAGUGGCGAAGGCGGCUUUCUGGACUAAUACUGACACUGAGGAGCGAAAGCGUGGGUAGCGAACAGGGAUUAGAUACCCUGGUAGUCCACGCUGUAAACGAUGAGUACUAGCCGUCGGGGUGUUAACCAUCUUAGUGGCGCAGCAAACGCGAUAAGUACUCCGCCUGGGGAUUACGGCCGCAAGGUUA